GAUGAACGCUGGCGGCGUGCCUAAUACAUGCAAGUCGAGCGGAUGGAUUAAGAGCUUGCUCUUAUGAAGUUAGCGGCGGACGGGUGAGUAACACGUGGGUAACCUGCCCAUAAGACUGGGAUAACUCCGGGAAACCGGGGCUAAUACCGGAUAACAUUUUGAACCGCAUGGUUCGAAAUUGAAAGGCGGCUUCGGCUGUCACUUAUGGAUGGACCCGCGUCGCAUUAGCUAGUUGGUGAGGUAACGGCUCACCAAGGCAACGAUGCGUAGCCGAACUGAGAGGGUGAUCGGCCACACUGGGACUGAGACACGGCCCAGACUCCUACGGGAGGCAGCAGUAGGGAAUCUUCCGCAAUGGACGAAAGUCUGACGGAGCAACGCCGCGUGAGUGAUGGAGGCUUUCGGGUCGUAAAACUCUGUUGUUAGGGAAGAACAAGUGCUAGUUGAAUAAGCUGGCACCUUGACGGUACCUAACCAGAAAGCCACGGCUAACUACGUGCCAGCCGCCGCAGUAA
rnacentral:rRNA from 1 species